GACUGAUGCAAAGGUAGUGAGUUAGGUUAACUGAUAGUUCACAGUAAGUUAUAGAUCAAACUCCUUGUUCUACUCUUUCCCCUUUUCACUACUGCACUUGACUAUUCUUUU
ensembl:misc_RNA Y_RNA Y RNA